GACAGUGAAUGACUGGUAUGAGCAACGCCAAAAAUGGGACGCAUUCAAGAAUUCAAAAGUGACCCUCAAUCAGGAGGCAGAUCAAGAUGAGGAUCAGGAAACAAAGUCAGAAGAGGAUGAUGAAGAGUCAUUACUCAAAAAGCGUAAUUGGGACGACUGGAAGGACACACAUCCACGGGGUUAUGGCAACCGGCAGAAUAUGGGUUAAUUUCACCAAGAAGAAAUAGGACCAGAGGGGCUCGAAUCUUCGCCUCCAAAGGAAAGUUGUACAGGUUCCCACUCCCCUGCCCUCCUCCCUCUCCCGUGUACAAUGACAUCAGAGACAGUUCAUCUUGCUGUGCAUUCAAUAAAGUGUCAAAAGACUUAAGUGUGCACUUGUAGCCUAGCUGAUGAGCUGACAGCUGUUGCAGACGUCACACUUGAGCAGAGAUUCCCAGUUUCCCAGACAUUGCCAAGUAAGUGGAAAGGAAAAAGCAAUGAGAAAUGGCUCUGUAUUAUUGAUUGUGGUAUGGAUUGUUUAAGUCCCAUGCGUUUUAAGCCUCCAUGGAACCAAGCCCCUUCCUAGCUGGGCUACGUAGAAGCCGCUUGUCCAUGGAAGAUCUCAGUGAAUUCUUUACACUCGUAACCACUGGUGACAACCCCCUUCUGCCCUCCAAGUACUUUGGGCACCGUGGCAUUUACAAAAGGACAGAAUCAGGGGCCAAGAUUUCCCCUGCCUCUUGGCAUCAUUUUCAGGAAUCAUCAACAGGGCCAUAACUGAACUCUGGUGGACACCCAAGGCCAGCCUUCACAGACUGUUCCUCAGGCACUACUUGAAGCAGUUUGCAAAUAACAACAGUGCCUUAGGGGUCUCACCAGCACUCGCUUUGGUCCCACGUGGAGGCUAUGACAGGGACGUGAGAUCCUGGGACUUCUGGUGCCACUGCUUCCCACCUCUUUCCUUCACCUUAAGUUCAUUGAAGUCAACAAUUCUUCCCUUGCAGCUCUUCCGAGAGCUUUGUUUGCUAAUUCAUAACCGACAUCUCGCAGAGAUCGUCCGUCUUCUUCUCGGAGGCCACGGGCUACAAGAUUUGCAGAAACGUUUGCCUGGUCUUGAAGAGAAGGGGGAGCUGGCUCAGGCCCUCAUCUCCGGCGUUUUAUUGCUUGUGAUGCACAGCACUUCUACUCCGGGAUCUGUCAUCUCAGCAGUAUGGCCAUUUCUUCCAACAUGUCUUCCCUAAGGACUUUAGAAGCAGCAUUCAAGGUUCUCAGAACUGGGAGAGUCCAUACGGUAGUCAAAUGUCCUUCCUUGGGAUCUUUGGACAGCAAGAGGAUAGUGUUGGAGUUGUCUCUUGCUCUCGGCACGUGACAAGACUUCUCUUUUGAAAUCGUACGUCUCUUGAUGAUACCCCGCUCCGUAAUUCCUUGCCCGGACCCUGCUCAGGCUCCCCAAGAGCCUCUCCGUUAUCCCCUGGAUGGUCUUGGACAUGGCUUCUGUGGAGAUUAUCAUGUUUCACUUCUCAGCAGCACAUCCCCAGACAUAUUCAAUAAUUAGGACCGAUUUAACUCCUUUGAAAGAGAAGCUUGGGCUCGUUCAAAGAACUCUGCAGUUGCAUAGAAGCAAUUUCACUUGUUCUCUUCCUCGUGUGCGGUCUGGGACCUGAUUCAUCAUCCCUGG
rnacentral:lncRNA from 1 species